rnacentral:rRNA from 1 species
AUAUAAGAUUUGACCUGCCCACUGAAUGAUUGAAUGGCCGCGGUAUUUUGACCGUGCAAAGGUAGCAUAAUAAUUAGUUUUUUGAUUGAAAGCUGGAAUGAAUGGUUGGACGAGAAAAUUACUGUCUCUAAUUAAUUUUAAAUAAAAUUUUAUUUUUAAGUUAAAAAGCUUAAAUAUUAAUGAAAGACGAGAAGACCCUAUAGAGUUUUAUAAUUUUUUGUUAAUAUAAUUUUAAGUAUUUAAAUUUUGUUUUUAAAAAAUUAUUUUAUUGGGGUGAUAGAAAGAUUUAAUAAACUCUUUUUUUAUUUAUACAUUUAUAUAUGAUUAUUUGAUCCAUUUUUUGUGAUUAUAAGAAUAAAUUACCUUAGGGAUAACAGCGUAAUCUUUUUAGAGAGUUCUUAUCGAAAUAAGGGAUUGCGACCUCGAUGUUGGAUUAAAGUUAAUUUUUGGUGUAGAAGCUUUAAAAUUGAGUCUGUUCGACUUUUAAAACUUUACAUGAUCUGAGUUUAAACCGGUGUGAGCCAGGUUGGUUUCUAUCUUUAUUUAAUUAAAAUGUCUUAGUACGAAA